UACUUCAAUUAGUUGAUUUUUGCCAUGC
rnacentral:sRNA from 1 species